GACGAACGCUGGCGGCGUGCUUAACACAUGCAAGUCGAACGGAAAGGCCCUGCUUUUGUGGGGUGCUCGUGUGGCGAACGGGUGAGUAACACGUGAGUAACCUGCCCUUGACUUUGGGAUAACUUCAGGAAACUGGGGCUAAUACCGGAUAGGAGCUCCUGCUGCAUGGUGGGGGUUGGAAAGUUUCGGCGGUUGGGGAUGGACUCGCGGCUUAUCAGCUUGUUGGUGGGGUAGUGGCUUACCAAGGCUUUGACGGGUAGCCGGCCUGAGAGGGUGACCGGCCACAUUGGGACUGAGAUACGGCCCAGACUCCUACGGGAGGCAGCAGUGGGGAAUAUUGCACAAUGGGCGGAAGCCUGAUGCAGCAACGCCGCGUGCGGGAUGACGGCCUUCGGGUUGUAACCGCUUUCGCCUGUGACGAAGCGUGAGUGACGGUAAUGGGUAAAGAAGCACCGGCUAACUACGUG
rnacentral:rRNA from 1 species